ensembl:snoRNA U3 Small nucleolar RNA U3
AAGACUGUACUUUCAGGGAUCAUUUCUAUCGUCAUUGACUUGAGAAAGGAGCUUCAAAGAUGAUCGGUCAUGCUAACCAUGAGGAAGACAAGUGGUAUCUUUUUCUGAGCUUUAAGUUGGCAGUAAACACUGACAUUUGUCAGGUUCUUCACUGUUGUUGAUGGCUGUUUCAGUUACCAUUAUUCAAAACUGACUGAAAGGGACAUAUCCUGAGUGGU